rnacentral:rRNA from 1 species
CCUACGGGUGGCAGCAGUAGGGAAUCUUCCGCAAUAGGCGAAAGCCUGACGGAGCAACGCCGCGUGAGUGAAGAAGGAUUUCGGUUCGUAAAGCUCUGUUGUUAGGGAAGAAUGAUUGUGUAGUAACUAUACACAGUAGAGACGGUACCUAACCAGAAAGCCACGGCUAACUACGUGCCAGCAGCCGCGGUAAUACGUAGGUGGCAAGCGUUGUCCGGAAUUAUUGGGCGUAAAGCGCGCGCAGGUGGUUUAAUAAGUCUGAUGUGAAAGCCCACGGCUCAACCGUGGAGGGUCAUUGGAAACUGUUAAACUUGAGUGCAGGAGAGAAAAGUGGAAUUCCUAGGGUAGCGGUGAAAUGCGUAGAGAUUAGGAGGAACACCAGUGGCGAAGGCGGCUUUUUGGCCUGUAACUGACACUGAGGCGCGAAAGCGUGGGGAGCAAACAGGAUUAGAUACCCUUGUAGUC